CGUAAGCAACCUGCCCGAAAGACCGGGACAACAGCUCGAAAGGGCUGCUAAUACCGGAUGUGUCCGUCUUACCUCAUGGUUUGACGAGUAAAUCAUUUAUGGCUUUCGGAGGGGCUUGCGGCCUAUCAGCUAGAUGGCGGUGUAACGGACCACCAUGGCGACGACGGGUAGCUGGUCUGAGAGGAUGAUCAGCCACACUGGGACUGAGACACGGCCCAG
rnacentral:rRNA from 1 species